rnacentral:rRNA from 1 species
CCUGGCAGCCAUAUCACCCUGUAGCCCGAGCCUGGUUGCCCACUGAAGCUAAGCAGGGCUGAGCCUGGUCAGUACCUGGAUGGGAGACCUCCUGGGAAAACUAGGUUGCUGCUGGAA